UUUUGGACAAUGGGCGAAAGCCUGAUCCAGCCAUUCCGCGUGCAGGACGAAGGCCUUCGGGUUGUAAACUGCUUUUGUACGGAACGAAAAAGCUCUCUCUAAUACAGAGGGUCCAUGACGGUACCGUAAGAAUAAGCACCGGCUAACUACGUGCCAGCAGCCGCGGUAAUACGUAGGGUGCAAGCGUUAAUCGGAAUUACUGGGCGUAAAGCGUGCGCAGGCGGUUUUGUAAGACAGAGGUGAAAUCCCCGGGCUCAACCUGGGAACUGCCUUUGUGACUGCAAGGCUGGAGUGCGGCAGAGGGGGAUGGAAUUCCGCGUGUAGCAGUGAAAUGCGUAGAUAUGCGGAGGAACACCGAUGGCGAAGGCAAUCCCCUGGGCCUGCACUGACGCUCAUGCACGAAAGCGUGGGGAGCAAACAGG
rnacentral:rRNA from 1 species